GCUCAGGAUGAACGCUGGCGGCGUGCUUAACACAUGCAAGUCGAACGAUGAAGCCCAGCUUGCUGGGUGGAUUAGUGGCGAACGGGUGAGUAACACGUGAGUAACCUGCCCUUAACUCUGGGAUAAGCCUGGGAAACUGGGUCUAAUACCGGAUAGGAGCGUCCACCGCAUGGUGGGUGUUGGAAAGAUUUAUCGGUUUUGGAUGGACUCGCGGCCUAUCAGCUUGUUGGUGAGGUAAUGGCUCACCAAGGCGACGACGGGUAGCCGGCCUGAGAGGGUGACCGGCCACACUGGGACUGAGACACGGCCCAGACUCCUACGGGAGGCAGCAGUGGGGAAUAUUGCACAAUGGGCGCAAGCCUGAUGCAGCGACGCCGCGUGAGGGAUGACGGCCUUCGGGUUGUAAACCUCUUUCAGUAGGGAAGAAGCGAAAGUGACGGUACCUGCAGAAGAAGCACCGGCUAACUACGUGCCAGCAGCCGCGGUAAUACGUAGGGUGCGAGCGUUAUCCGGAAUUAUUGGGCGUAAAGAGCUCGUAGGCGGUUUGUCGCGUCUGUCGUGAAAGUCCGGGGCUUAACCCCGGAUCUGCGGUGGGUACGGGCAGACUAGAGUGCAGUAGGGGAGACUGGAAUUCCUGGUGUAGCGGUGGAAUGCGCAGAUAUCAGGAGGAACACCGAUGGCGAAGGCAGGUCUCUGGGCUGUAACUGA
rnacentral:rRNA from 1 species